rnacentral:rRNA from 1 species
AGAGUUUGAUCAUGGCUCAGGAUAAACGCUGGCGGCGCACAUAAGACAUGCAAGUCGAACGGACCAAAGCCUUAGUUUACUAUGGCAGAGGUUAGUGGCGGACUGGUGAGUAACACGUAAGCAACCUGCCUAUUAGAGGGGAACAACAGUUAGAAAUGACUGCUAAUACCGCAUAUGCCAUAAUCACUGCAUGGUGAUAGUGGGAAAGGAGCAAUCCGCUAAUAGAUGGGCUUGCGUCUGAUUAGAUAGUUGGUGGGGUAAAGGCCUACCAAGUCGACGAUCAGUAGCCGGACUGAGAGGUUAAACGGCCACAUUGGGACUGAGAUACGGCCCAGACUCCUACGGGAGGCAGCAGUCGGGAAUAUUGCGCAAUGGAGGAAACUCUGACGCAGUGACGCCGCGUGCAGGAAGAAGGUUUUCGGAUUGUAAACUGCUUUAGACAGGGAAGAAAAAAGACGGUACCUGUAGAAUAAGCUCCGGCUAACUACGUGCCAGCAGCCGCGGUAAUACGUAGGGAGCGAGCGUUAUCCGGAUUUAUUGGGUGUAAAGGGUGCGUAGACGGGAUAUUAAGUUAGUUGUGAAAUCCCCAGGCUUAACUUGGGAACUGCAACUAAAACUAAUAUUCUUGAGUACUGGAGAGGAAAGUGGAAUUCCUAGUGUAGCGGUGAAAUGCGUAGAUAUUGGGAGGAACACCAGUGGCGAAGGCGACUUUCUGGACAGAAACUGACGUUGAGGCACGAAAGUGUGGGGAGCAAACAGGAUUAGAUACCCUGGUAGUCCACACUGUAAACGAUGGAUAC